rnacentral:sRNA from 1 species
GUUCAUCAAUGCCUACAACAGCCGGCGCGACCUGGAGAUUGAGCGACCAAUGCCGGGAACCCACACAGUCACCCUGCAGUGCCCUGCUCUGUUGGUGGUUGGGGACAGCUCGCCUGCGGUGGAUGCUGUGGUGGAGUGCAACUCGAAAUUGGACCCAACAAAGACCACUCUCCUCAAGAUGGCAGACUGUGGCGGCCUCCCGCAGAUCUCCCAGCCGGCCAAGCUCGCUGAGGCCUUCAAGUACUUCGUGCAGGGCAUGGGAUACAGUGAGUAUGGGCUUCCCCAUGUGCCGUGGGUCGGGACACAUGUCGGAAUUGGAAGUGCUCUGUCCUGAGCCAGGCUUGGAUGAGCAAUUUUGUGUCCCCCUGGCUAGCUUCAGCUUUCUGGGAGGAAGCAUUUAGGUGUGUGGAG